rnacentral:rRNA from 1 species
AACGAACGCUGGCGGCAUGCCUAACACAUGCAAGUCGAACGAGACCUUCGGGUCUAGUGGCGCACGGGUGCGUAACGCGUGGGAACCUGCCCUUAGGUUCGGACUAACUCCCCGAAAGGGGUGCUAAUACCGGAUCAUGUCUUCGGCCCAAAGAUUUAUCGCCUUUGGAUGUGCCCGCGUUGGAUUAGCUAGUUGGUAGGGUAAAAGCCUACCAAGGCGACGAUCCAUAGCUGGUCUGAGAGGAUGAUCAGCCACACUGGGACGGAGACACGGCCCAGACUCCUACGGGAGGCAGCAGUGGGGAAUAGUGGACCAUGGGCGAAAGCCUGAUGCAGCAAUGCCGCGUGAGUGAUGAAGGCCUUAGGGUUGUAAAGCGCUUUUACCCGGGAUGAUAAUGACAGUACCGGGAGAAUAAGCUCCGGCUAACUCCGUG